GGGGGGGGCAAAAGGAAGAAGAAAAAGGGCCAAAAAGGAUUUGUCCUGCACAGAAAGGGGGCCCUAGGAACUGCUGAGGAUUAUCGCCACGUGAAUAACAAUCAUGACUACAGGUCACUGCCAUUGUGGGUGACAGCCAGGACGUGGCCACUGGGCGCUCCGCUUCAAGGCUGCCUGGACUGAGCCGGGAGCCCCGAGGGCAGAAACCUACCCACCUCCGCUCUUCACAGACAUCAUCCUUUCUUUUGUGUCGCUCCCGCCUCCCUCUGAAUCCGUCCAGGACUCCAUCAGGAGGGGCACAGCGGAACAGGUGAGGGGUGGGACAGGGGACAGGGCUGCCCUCCUGACGAGAAAGCCAUGGCUCACCCUAGAACCCAUGGCCCUUGACACAAUCGUUUCCACCAAAAGAGGCCACAGUCUCCCCACGGCCACCCAAGCUGGAGAUCAGUUUCAGGUUGGACUGAGCCCAGGGAAGCUGCCCGGCAGCCUCUGGCUCCAAAAGGGUAGGGACUCUGCCAGCUAAGAGUGAGGCUGGGGGCCAAAGGAGGGAUGAGGCUGGAAAGGAGAGACACGGAGACAAAAACCACCAGGCUGUCCUCACAGGAGCACCUGAUGUGCCCAGGAAGUAGCAGGACCAACAGCGACAGAUGGACUUGCUGCGAGAUAAAGAAGAAAGCACUGGCUGUGAAGGAGAGCCUUGGCACUGACCCCAUCUGGACAUGUAGCACGAGAGAUAUAUCAAUGACAGUAUCAAUUUUGACUGAUUUUACAGACAAAACACCUCCAAACUCAUUUUCUUCUUUAAGCCUGCUGAAGGUACAGGUGUAUUUAUGCCUAUAUUUAUAUUGA
rnacentral:lncRNA from 1 species